ACCGGGAAAGAUGAAAAUCAAGCAUUAAUAUUACGGAAUUAAUAAUACAAAAUUAGGUCCGAUUUACAUGAUUGGUGAGCAAGAUCAUGUUAAAAUUGAGAUGGAAAGAUGACUGAAUCAUAUUUCCAAAGAAAUAAAACAGAUGAAUAUUUGUUUCCUCAGGUUAAUUUAGAGGGAUUUACCUUGCGAUAUACUAAGGGUAUGCUUCAAUGAUAGACUGCACAAUAUUGCGAAUAGGUUUUAUGGUAUAUCGACUAAAACCAGCAUUGAGAAGGACGUAGUCCCAUUCCUUGAAGGUCCUUUCUUUGCCUGUAGUAGUAUGUGCCAUCAUAACCAUGUCUACCAUCAACUUCACAUCCUUGAGCUUCUGAUCAUCACCUUGAGGAUCACCAUCUUCAAUCACGGCUUCUACAAUUACCACCUUCCCUUUGUCCUCCGGAAUGGCUUCUCUGCAUUUUUCUAGGAUCUUGAUGCACUUUUCAUCUCCCCAAUCAUGUAGGACCUUCUACAAUUGAGAAAAAGAAAACCGAUUUAAUUCAAUUAGUAGAUGACUAAGAUGAUGUUUAUUUUUUGGGUGAAUAGAAAAAACCAAAAUAUUUGACUUUUUCCAUUAAGUUAAAAGUACCUUGUUGCNNNNNNNNNNNNNNNNNNNNNNNNNNNNNNNNNNNNNNNNNNNNNNNNNNNNNNNNNNNNNNNNNNNNNNNNNNNNNNNNNNNNNNNNNNNNNNNNNNNNAAACAAAAAACUUAAAAAUUAAUACAAUUAAAACCAAAAACUAAAAAAAUUUAAAAAUAGAAUUUUGACUCCAUUGAAUUUCCAACUCUUUCUCAAUAUCUAUAUUUUUAGUUUUAAUUAUAAUUAUAAUUAUUAAAAAUUCCUAUUUUAUUAAUUUCAAAUUAAUUCUUACUGUAUUUUUUUUAAAAUAGUGUUAUUAAUGUAUCAAAUAAAAGGAUUAUUUUAGAAAAUAAUUAUUUAACUUUUGAAAAAGUGCAUUUAUUUUUCAAAUAUUUUUAAGAUUAUUUUUUCUAUAUUUUUUAAAAUUAGUGAAUCAAAACCUUUUUUUUUUUUUUUUGUAAAAUUAGUGAGUCAAAACUCACUUUUUCCAAAACAAUAUAUUUUCAAAACAAAUUUUAACAAAGUGUUUUAUCAUUUUUUUGAAUUAGAAAAUUUUCUAUAUUUAUAGAAAAUUUACAAACCUAUUUUUUGAAUUAAAAAUCUGUUUUUCAUUUUAAAGAACAAAAAAAAUAUUUAAAACUAGUUUGAAAUUGGACCAAAUAUUACGAUCCCAUCAUUGCCCAUAUGACAUUUAUUUUUAAAAUUAAAAUCCGACAUUCAAAUAUUUGAUCUAAAUACAAAAAUUUAAAAAAAAAGUUUAAAUCUUAUCCAAAAUAAAUAGUAAUUUUGUCCCCAUUUCAAAUAAUUUUUAUCACAAAUUAAUUAAGUUGUAUUUAGAUUAGAGAACCAGACCCAAAAAAUCUGCCACGUGGCACCUACCAGUUAUGCAACAAGAUGAAUCAGGCAACGCACAUCCUUGGUUCCUCCAUUUAUUUUUUUCCAGAAAAACAACAGAAACUAGAUUAAAGCUUGAGCUUCCACCCUGAACCGCAGCUCAAGCCAAGGGCCCACUUCAAUCACAGACCGCAGAAAUGGUCCCUUAACAUACUCCCACUCCUUUAAGGUCCUUCCUUUGCCAGUAGCGUGAGUUUUGACUUGUAGUCGAUGUGGGACUUGUUUUAUAUCUGACAAGGCACUGUUCUUAAGGCGCGUUUGUCUUUCUUUUGAUUUUAUUUUCUUGCCUAAGAUUGGGUGGACCGGGAAAGAUGAAAAUCAAGCAUUAAUAUUAGGGAAUUAAUAAUACAAAAUUAGGUCCGAUUUACAUGAUUGGUGAGCGAGAUGAUGUUAAAAUUGAGAUGGAAAGAUGACUGAAUCAUAUUUCCAAAGAAAUAAAACAGAUGAAUAUUUGUUUCCUCAGGUUAAUUUAGAGGGAUUUACCUUGCGAUAUACUAAGGGUAUGCUUCAAUGAUAGACUGCACAAUAUUGCGAAUAGGUUUUAUGGUAUAUCGACUAAAACCAGCAUUGAGAAGGACGUAGUCCCAUUCCUUGAAGGUCCUUUCUUUGCCUGUAGUAGUAUGUGCCAUCAUAACCAUGUCUACCAUCAACUUCACAUCCUUGAGCUUCUGAUCAUCACCUUGAGGAUCACCAUCUUCAAUCACGGCUUCUACAAUU
rnacentral:lncRNA from 1 species